rnacentral:rRNA from 1 species
AUUGAACGCUGGCGGCAGGCUUAACACAUGCAAGUCGAACGGAGUGGCGAACGGGUGAGUAAUGUAUCGGAACGUGCCCAGUAGCGGGGGAUAACUACGCGAAAGCGUAGCUAAUACCGCAUACUAUUGGAGCGGCCGAUAUCGGAUGAGCUAGUUGGUGGGGUAACGGCUGACCAAGGCGACGAUCCGUAGCUGGUUUGAGAGGACGACCAGCAACACGGGGACUGAGAAACGGCCCAGACUCCUACGGGAGGCAGCAGUGGGUAAUUUUGGAAAAUGGGGGAAACCCUGAUCCAGCCAGCCCGCGUGUGCGAUGAAGGCCUUCGGGUUGUAAAGCACUUUUGGCAGGAAAGCGGUACCUGCAGAAUAAGCACCGGCUAACUACGUGCCAGCAGCAGCGGUAAUUC